rnacentral:rRNA from 1 species
GCUUACGGCCAUACCACCCUGAACACGCCCGAUCUCGGAAGCUAAGCAGGGUAGGGCCUGGUUAGUACUUGGAUGGGAGACCGCCUGGGAAUACCAGGUGCUGUAAGCU